rnacentral:misc_RNA from 1 species
GUCAUUAUCACUAAUCAAGCCCGGCUUGCUGUUGGACCUCUUGUCGUUAAAAGACAGGCCCCAAAGAUAAUGGCGGUGUUAUUGAACCCUAGAUGCAACGAGCUUUAACCAGCACGCAUGGUAGUGGUCUUUAACCCGGUCUUUUUUAACCAAUUUCUAAGGUUGACCUCGGAUCAGGUAGGAAUACCCGCUGAACUUAA